GACGAACGCUGGCGGCGUGCCUAAUACAUGCAAGUCGAACGCUUCUUUCCUCCCGAGUGCUUGCACUCGAUUGGAAAGAGGAGUGGCGGACGGGUGAGUAACACGUGGGUAACCUACCCAUCAGAGGGGGAUAACACUUGGAAACAGGUGCUAAUACCGCAUAACAGUUUAUGCCGCAUGGCAUAAGAGUGAAAGGCGCUUUCGGGUGUCGCUGAUGGAUGGACCCGCGGUGCAUUAGCUAGUUGGUGAGGUAACGGCUCACCAAGGCCACGAUGCAUAGCCGACCUGAGAGGGUGAUCGGCCACACUGGGACUGAGACACGGCCCAGACUCCUACGGGAGGCAGUAGUAGGGAAUCUUCGGCAAUGGACGAAAGUCUGACCGAGCAACGCCGCGUGAGCGAUGAAGGUUUUCGGAUCGUAAAACUCUGUUGUUAGAGAAGAACAAGGACGUUAGUAACUGAACGCCCCCUGACGGUAUCUAACCAGAAAGCCACGGCUAACUACGUGCCAGCCGCCGCCGUAA
rnacentral:rRNA from 1 species